CCUUCGGACCAAAAUUGUUGUAUGGCUUGUGUGGGGCGAGGGGCACAACGUGAAUCCGUAAUAGGCCAUGGCGGGUGUCUUUUUAAGCAUCCAAGCCAUACAACAAUUUGGGGUUGGGAGGUGAGGUGAUGGAUAUAAAUCCAUGUAUGUUUAUUGUCGGAUGAUAUGGUUGCGUGAUUUAAACUAGACAUACAUCGAUUUAUAUGGCGCKUAUCGAURUAUGGCCUGUGUGGGGCGAGAGGCACAAGUGGAACUGUAAAAGGAUCUGCAAGGGUUUCCCAAACCACACAAGCCAUACAUCGGUUGUAAGUCGGAUCGCUUAUCGAUGUAUGGCUUGUGUGGGGCGUGAGGCACAACGUGGAACCGUAAAAGGAUCUGCAAGGGUUUCCCAAACCACACAAGCCAUACAUCRGUUGUAAGUCRGAUCGCUUAUCGAUGUAUGGCUUGUGUGGGGCGUGAGGCACAACGUGGAACCGUAAAAGGAUCUGCAAGGGUUUCCCAAACCACACAAGCCAUACAUCGGUUGUAAGUCSGAUCGSCUUAUCGAUGUAUGGCUUGUGUGGGGGCGUGAGGCACAACGUGGAACCGUAAAAGGAUCUGCAAGGGUUUCCCAAACCACACAAGCYAUACAUCGGUUGUAAGUCGGAUGUCGCUUAUCGAUGUAUGGCUUGUGUGGGGCGAGAAGCACAACGUGGAACUGUAAAAGGAUCUGCAAGGGUUUCCCAAACCACACAAUCCAUACAUCAGUUGUAAGUCGCAAAACAACCACAAUUGUUGUAUUGCUUGGAUGUGUGCGAGGGGCACAACGUGAAUCCGUAAUAGGCCACGGCGGGUGUCUUUUUAAGCAUCCAAACCAUACAACAUUUGGGGGGGAUUAUUCUAGCGGGUUUCAUUCUCUUCGUAUCGUGC
rnacentral:misc_RNA from 1 species